rnacentral:rRNA from 1 species
UACGGAGGGUGCAAGCGUUAUUCGGGCUCACUGGGAUUAAAGGGUUCGUGGGCGGAGGUGUAAGUCAGUUGUGAAAUGCCCCGGCUUAACCGGCGGAAGUGCGAUUGAUACUGCAUCACUUGAAUCAGGAUGAGGCAGGCGGAAUGUGGCAUGUAGCGGUGAAAUGCUUAGAUAUGCCAUAGAACACCAAUUGCGAAGGCAGCUUGCUGGGCCUGAAUUGACGCUGAGGCACGAAAGCGUGGGGAGCAAACAGG